AUAUGUCAUGAUGUUAUCUACAUCCUGGUAUCCAUGUUUCCUCGUGCAGAACUUCUGUGCGAUUUUUCAUACAUGCCAUGCUGGUCUAUGAUGUCAGUGUUUUGUAUCAAGCGUCGGACACUAAAUGUGCAUUUGGGCUCGGUUUUAUCCAUGUCGUUAGCGAAGAUUGUAGCGCCAAAAAUCCCAAGUUGCUGGAAUAAGAGCUGUUUAUUUAUUUGCUAUAAAGAGCACACUGUUUGGUGCCACUGGAGUGGAGUCCAUCAUUCAUUCUGAAAUCUGAAUCCUAUGUCUGAUUAUAAAUACAGAGAUCUUGUGGUGUCUCACCAGCCACCGGGUGGUUGCGAGGCUGAAAACGACUCUCUUGAUACCGAGAGAAUCCACCGCCACAGCGUAUCAGCAUAUGCCUUUUCUAUGACUGGUCAUGGGUUCUGCCUGAUUUUCUAGCUGGGGGUUUCUUGAGAUGCCGACAGGUGACCUGACUGGUCCAUGAUCCAUCUUCGGCCUAUCAAGUUGCAGCUCGCUUAAUUUCUGCCUCGUGGGGCUAGAAAUGCUGCCCUCUUGUGUCCAUGAUAUUUCAUAACUGAACCCACUGCCCUCUCUCUUCGUGUGCCUGUCCAUGAUAUUAUGGUGGUGUUCGUCUGCUCUCUGGCCAUUUUCGCCGUGUGAAAACCCAUCGUGUCAAAUCUGGGACGGUGCUUCCUCUGGACCACAGCAACAGCAUGGCGUCCUCAUCCGAAUCGGCCGGUCCAGGAAAGGCAGGCAGGCAGGCAAUCUUCAAGGAGGGAGGUCUCAUCUGCGGCCUGUCCUUCUGUCGUACUGUGGACGUUUGUGCCGGUGCAAUUAACCUCCAUCAAGAGAGACCGUUUGUACUACUACCGGAUAUUUGAAAUGGGGCUCGGCCGCUCGGGCUAUUUGCUCAUUUACAGUAGUACUAGUACUCCCUCCGUAAACUAAUAUAAGAGCGUUUAGAAUACUAAAAUAGUGAUUUAAACGCUCUUAUAUUAGUUUACAGUACUAUUUACAUCUCCCCGCCUUGUUUUUCCAGUUGUCAGGUGGGAUAAUCCUAACCAAUGGAGAUUUUGUAACUUAGGUUAGGUAACUUAACCAGGCGGCUGAUUUUAGUUGGAGGAUCCGCAGCCGAUUGUAAUGUAUUCGCGCCAAAGGAGGAUUCAUCAGAAGAGAAUACUGCAUGACGUUGCUUCGAGUACUUAUUGCACCAUCCUCUCUUCUCACUGGUGGUUGUGCACUACAUCAACGCCUAGCAACUUCCACCACUAGAUGCGCAGUCGGCCGUCAUGGUCAACAAUAGCCUCCGCUUCGCUCUCUGCAGUGCCGCUGCACCGGGAAAAAAGGAGGCCCUGGCACUACUGGGUUUUACCCGACGGCGUUGGUGGUAAGGGCGAAGGGAGAAGCCGGGGAAGGUUGCGAUAGAAGUAUUAUGGAUCCUAUGGCACAUAAAUACAAAGAUCGUGUAGUAUAUCACCAACUAACAGGUUGUUUCGAGCCUGAAAAUGACUUUCUUCACUCCAAGAGAAUCCAUCACCAUCUUCAGCAUGGGUGCAUAAAACCGGUUUUCACCAUUGGUCAUGGGUUUGCUUGGUUUUAAGUAGGGGGUCGCUUGGGAUGCUGAUAAUAUGGUCCAUCUUUGGCCUAUCAAGUUGCAGCUUUGUUUCUUCUUAUGUCCAUUAUACUUCCUCUGUUUUAAUUUAUUCCGCACAUUUGUUUUAUCGUAAAUUAAACUUAUAAAUUUAGGUAAAAAAUAAUAUAAACAUUUACAAUAACAAAUAUGUAUGAUGUGAAAAUAUAUUAUGAAUCUAAUCGUAUUCAUUUGGUAUUGUAGAUGUUAAUGUUUUUUAUAGACUUGAUAUGUUUGACUUAAAACAAAACUAAUACGAAGAGUAAAUUAGAACGAGUGGAGUAUUUCAUAAACAACUCGUUGUUCUCUCCUCUUUUUUUUUCUUGUGCAUGUCCAUUUAGUGGCGUCCACUCUCGCUUUGUAGUACUGGUAGUGCUUUUUGCUAGGUAGUAAAAGUAUCAUAUUUUUUCCUUCUGUUUUUGUUGAGGGCAAAGUGAGUUAUCUACUUAUCUCGGUUCAUAUCAAAGGUUGAAACUGUGUACUCAAGUAAUAGUAUUCCAGAACACAUGCAACAUCAGCACCAAGUCUGUGGAUUUUUGACCUUGAAUUCCUGGCAAAUCUUGAAUGGACGACAACAACAUCACAUCCUCCCCCGAUUUGGUCCACGCCCGAGAAAGAGAGGCGGGAGCAGGUCUUAUCCACGGCGUGUCCUUUUGUCGUAUUGUAGGCGUACAUGCCGGCGAGACCACCACCAAAGGAGACUGUUCGUCCAAUCGGAAAUUUGAAAUGGAGCCUUUACAUCUUGCCAGCGUUGUUUUUCCAAUUGUCAAGUCAAAUGGGAUGAUAGUAACCAAUUGUCAAGUUGGUCUCACAUGUUAACCACCCAACCUUCGAUCAGGGCAGAAGACGACGAGUGUUUUUCUUAUCUGAAAAGGAGGAUGGCCUCCAGCCUUUGAACUGAUUUGAUGCACUCGUGUACAAAUUAAACCAGCUUUAAAAGGAAUGUUUAGUAUAUUGAUUCAUUAGAAAACAUAAGAUGUACCAGGAUUUAUUUUGACUUGUCUUGUACUUCAAUUAAAUCAUGUACAUAUAUAUAUGCCUAGGGUUCGCCCGCCGGUCGUGUUGACCGGCUGCCCUAGAGAGUCUUUUUCCCAAGCCCUUGCUCCGGAUUUCUCUCUCUCCCGCUAGUCAUCUUGAUUGUCGUUUUUUUAGUUUUUUGAUCUAUGCUUGAUCGAUUUGUGUCGCCCACCGCCGCCAUCGUCCCCAGUGCGCCUCUACUCCAACACCGACACGAUCGAUAGGCUUCUUCACCGAUACGGCGGCCUCGCGCGACAGGCGGUCCCUCACGGCCGUCGUCCACUCGCCGGCCCGCUCGUCGAUCUAUGCAGUCCGUCACCGCCCUCUUCGGGCGGGACACCUGCAUCGGCCCGACCCGGCGACCUCGCGCCAUGCGGCGGUUCAUCAUAGUCGUCGUACGCAUGCUGGCCCGCCCAUUGAUCCAUGCCACCCGCCUCCACCGCGUCUGCACCGCGGCCCAGCGGUCUACCUCGCCGGCCUCAUCCCCUCUUGCGUCGUGCCAGCUGCUUCAGGCUCGUCGGAUGCCUCAUCUCGGGCGCCGCUGCUACGUUGGUCGCUCAGGCCUCGCUACCCGGGCGCCGGCGCUACUUUGGCAGCCCGGGUGCUGGUGCUGACGCGCUCGUCCACACAACAUCUUAUGUAGUCCGUCAUCGCCGGCUUCAUCUCGGACUCCGCCGCCACCUUGCCUCCACCGAGCAGCGUCCCCGACCUCGCGCGCGAUCGGCUUGAUCACCCACUCCCCUCCGCGAUCCGCCUCAUUUAUGCCCCGCGACCGACCUGGUCCGUCGAUUGCGCGCGCCUCCGCAGGUCCCGUAAAGAUCGUCCAUGAGUACAACGCGCCCCUCCACCGAUCGAGCAUCGGGCUGCCGUUGUGUCGCCUCGUCGGGCCGCAGCGUCGCCGCCCCGUUGUUCUCCCCGUGGUUGCACCGACUAGCGCGUCGUCGCCACGUCGCCCCUUCGGGCGAUAGUUCCGCGAUACGAGCUCCCCACCACGGCCCCGCUGCGGUCCUCGCGGCUGCACCGACCCGGGCUCCUUCGCUGCGUCGCCCCUUCGGGUCGUAGCGCCACGGCAUGCGGUUCACUCCGCGUCCCUACGCGUUGACUACUACGUGGUAUGUGCAGCAUCGCCUCCCUUGGCGCGAGAAUGCCACCGUCUGCGUCGGUCUUCGUCAUGCUGUCGGGUUCCUCGCCUACUUUGAGCAUCGCUGCCGUGCUCCUAAUCUAGCCGCCGCCGCUCUUCUUCGGCCGCCACCACUCUUCUUCGUCUGCCACCGCUACCCCCGUAGCCGCCGGCCGUCCACCUCCUUCGUCUUUAUCUAGCACCAAUCCGUCGCCAGCAUCGCCGUCAUCUUCCUCGACCAUCGUUGGUGACAUCGGCCCCAUGCCGAUUGGCGUCACAACCGUCGUCAAGUCUUUCUCUGCUGACCUCUCCGACUUCUCCAACAUGGCGUACAACUCGUGCAGGUCUCAGUCCACGCAUGCCCGGUGCUGGCAACACUGAUCCGUGGCUUCGUCCACGACGUGUCCCCGGGCCUAGCAAGCCUAGUGCGGCGCUUCGUCAACUUCGUCUUCGUCUGUCUACGCAUGCCCGAUGCUGACAACACCGAUGCGUGCUUUCGUCCAUGAUGUGUCCCCAGGCUUGGCAAACCCGGCGCGACGCGUCGUCAACAAUAUCUUUUUCCUGGCGCACCACUACUUCGACAUCACUGCACCCAUGACUAAAUCGGCGCCUCCUUGCGCCCGCGGCUCCUCGGCGACUUCCUCGACACUGGCUACCCCGACUCGACAUCGACCACGACGUUCUUCCCACGGCUACCUCGACCACGGCUACACCACCUUACACUAUCGUCUACAUCGACAAACGGCACAAAGGGCUACCGCCUUGCUUGAGCAACCUUGUAAUUGGUUUCCACUCCAGCCACGACCAACGCGAUGCAUCGAUCGUUACGACUGUGGGGGUGUUCGCUGGUUUGCCUUCGGAUUCUUCUCCAGUCUCACCGUCUGCGUCGCUAGCGGUAGUGACUGCGGGGGAUGUUGGGUAUAUUAAUUCAUUAGGAAACAUAAAAUAAACUAGAAUUGUCCUGACUUGUCUUGUACUCCAAAUAAAUCAUGUACUCAUAUAUNNNNNNNNNNNNNNNNNNNNNNNNNNNNNNNNNNNNNNNNNNNNNNNNNNNNNNNNNNNNNNNNNNNNNNNNNNNNNNNNNNNNNNNNNNNNNNNNNNNNNNNNNNNNNNNNNNNNNNNNNNNNNNNNNNNNNNNNNNNNNNNNNNNNNNNNUAUAUAUAUAUAUAUAUAUAUAUAUAUAUAUAUAUAUAUAUAUAUAUAUAUAUAUAUAUAUAUAUAUAUAUAUAUAUAUAUAUAUAUAUAUAUAUGCCCACAAGGCUCAAGCAAUACAUCAAACUAUUCCACCAAUCUCUCUCUUCCUUCUAACACUCGGGGUGGUCGGCUUCCAUGACCGCCGCCAGGGGCCACACUGCCCGUACCUAGGGUCCNNNNNNNNNNACAAGGCUCAAGCAAUACAACAACUAUUUCAUCAAACCCUCUCUAUCCCUUCUAACAAGGAAGAAGAAAAUUGAACCUGUCACACGAUAACGUCUCCGAUAUCCCACCACAACCUCUGUGACCAUGGACCAUAAUCCAUCAGUCAAGUGAUAUGCGACCUUGAUGUCAGAAAAAGAAAGUGAUGCGUGACCUAACUACGUGCGGAAGAAUCCAAUGCAACAACUUCAUGAAGAAAUCACGCUCGCACGCUCUGACAGUAAGUCAAACUUAGAAUUGUCGCCUUUGAAAUUGAACUUCAAGCCAACACUUUCAACAAGAAUUUGUGCGAAUAUCAGCUCUGUCUGAUCUAGUCAUAAGACUAAAUCAUUGAUUUUCACCCAGAUAAAAUACAAUAUCAAUGACAACUGUCAAUGUCUCCUUCCAAUUUUUUAUCGGCAUGUUCGUACAGAACAAGCAUAUGUGUUCGCGCCGAAGCAAAAAUUCAUCAGACUAGCCACAAUGGGUAGUAACAUACACUAGUAACAUACACAUGUCCCUAGACUAUGUUACUACCUUUAUAGUGGGUAGUAAGGCUGGUCACAAUGGGGAGGAACUUAGGAGUAACAUCACACACUCCAAUACAACUUUGCUUAUGUGGCACAUAUUUAAUGAAGAGAGAGGUGCUUGUGGUAACUAGCUAAGUUACCGGAACAUCACACACUCCAAGAAACAAUGAGUCUAUAACCUAAUAAAUACAUCUUUGCAUGACACUACAUAGAUGUUCCUACCAACUAUGGAGGUAGUAACAUAGUCUAGGAAAGUGUGUAAGUUACUAGCUUAUGUUCUUGCCCAUUGUGACCAGCCUAAUAUAAGUGUGGUAACAUGGAAAGCUUCAUUUAUUAGGUUAUAGACUCAUAUUUCAUUGGGACAUGUGAUGUUAUACUAGUAACUAGUUAAGUUACUAUAACUAUCUCUCUCCUCAUUAACUCACUGUCACAUAAGCAAAUUUGCUAAGUUGGACUUGAUGUUAUCGCUAAAGUUACUCCCACUGUGGCUAGUCUCAGAAGAGAAGACGUUGUAACGCCGUUCCAGUUUCUGCCACACCAUCCUCUCAUCGUGACCUUUUUUUUCUUUUUUGCGGGUUCUCAUCCUUGGUUGUUGUGCACACCACAACAACAUCUAGGGGCUUUAACACCAGAGGAGCAGUCAGCCAUGGCGUCCGCUUCACGCUUCGCAUCGUGGCUGCGCAUCGAAAAAGGGAGGCCGUGCCACCGGCCCACCGCCGAGCUGUGAGGGAACAAGCCAAGGAAGGUUGAAAUAGGUCGCCGGCCUAUUCGCGCCGCAUGAGUCGCAUGUUAGAUUAAAAUGUGUGAAUAAACACACUAAAAGAUUGUUAUGUACCGCAGAUUUAAAAUUACCAACAAUGGACGCAUGGUGGCCGGUGACUUUUCGGAGGAUUUGCCACAACCCGGUCUUUGUCAAGCGUGGGAUGUCAUGUCACAGGGACGACCGUCACGUGUGCAUUAGGAGCAUCUACAACCGGAAAUGUCAAAAUGGCCCCUUAAACGCCCGCAGACACGCUCGGGCGCGUCCACAGAAAGUGAUCGAGCAUGCCUCAAAUUUUAUUUGUUGCAUACGGACAUCUCAUACUAGAUUCUUAAAUUCAUACAAAGACAUGCAAACGAAAUAAGUCUAUGUACUAUGUCGAUCACCUAGCUACUCAUCGUCGGAGCUGUCAAUGAUCUCCGUGCUCGGCUCCGGCAGCAUUGGUGGCAACUGCAGCUCUGACUCCUCCCGCGCCUCCGGCUGCUCCGCUUCGGCCUCCUCCGCCUUUAUCUCCGCGUCGAGUUCGGCGAGAAGCAUGUCGGACACCGCCUGCUUCUGCCGGAGGAACGCCCGGUUGGCCUCCACAUAGGCCUCAUCCUGGAUGGCCUGCUGCUCCGCCAUCUCGUCGGACUGGGCGACGGCGAACUCCGCGUCCGCCUGUUCCAUGUUGAAGGCCGGCAGCUGCUGCUCCGGCUGUUCCGCCUCCUCCGUCUCCAUCAGAGCCAACUCCUCCUCCUCUUCCCCUGCCUGCUCCUCCUCCUUUUCCGGCUCCGACGAGUCCGGAGGCAGCCCGACAACGAUGCGGGCUGCGCGCGCUGCUUGUCUCGCCCAAAUCUCUUGCUGGAUGUCAGUGCGGCGCUUCGGUGUGAGCAUUUGCAUAGUAGGUGAUGUUCGUCCGGACCAUGGUGGACCGCCAGAGCGUGGGCAGAGCGCCUGAGAGGGAGAGAGAAUUGUGGAUGGGCUCGGACUAGCGGCGGGGAGAGGGGGGAGGUAGAUGGACUUGUGUUGCGAGACUCUGGUCAUGUUAAAUAGGUGGAUUUGCUCUCGGGCGGCGUGCCGGAGCGGCGCCACGCGGCAUUCACACCGUGGCGACGGAGAAGGUGUCCGUCGGACCGCCGGGUUUCCGAGCGAGUCCGCGUGGGACAUCUUUGUCAGCCCUAUGUGCAGGGGCGGCGCUAGGGGUAUUCUUGGGUCUUCAUGUGAAUAUCCAUAAUUUUUAUAAAACAAUGUUGAUUUUGGCAAAAGAGUGACAAUUUUCAAAAAACAGCAAUGGUUUUGGCAAAAUGAAUACACAUGAAUACCCGGUUGCAAAUUUCUGAAGUUGCCACUGCAUAUGUGGCAGGUGUGCCCGGACGCUCCAAUAUCUGCCCCAUAUUUAAGCUGGAUAUGAUGGGUGCCGGUCAGUCCGAACGUUUGAGGUCCGAUAAAGGGUACCGUCUGAUCAGAAAAUCGUGAACGAUCAGUGACCAGACGGUCCAUCCGAACAUAUAAGGUGGGUUUUUAAGGCCCCGGCUGUAGAUGCUCUCUAAAAGUGGGCGAAGCCAGACCAGGGGAGCAAAACCACCGUGACCACCUCCCUCCCUUGGAUGAUUGGUGCUACCGCUACGGGGAAUCUGACGGAGGAUCUUUGCUAACCUACACAACACUCACCGACUGCCAACGUCGUCUGUCCGCAGCGUGCGCGAUCAACCAAGACCACGAGCGCGUGUCGUGUGAACGAGCGCCCGUACCACGGGGCUAGGGCACGCGUUCCUCGCGUGUAUGAGACCCAUGGCGUCGCUGUAGCGGGAAAGAAGUUUGAAAACGAGAUCACCUUUUAUGAACAAUCGGACGGGAGAAACAGUAUUCAGUCCAUUCACCUCCCUGUGUGUGUUCCUCUCCCCACGGCGACGUGUGGUGUGCUGGCUUCCGUGUACGUAGUUUUGCGUGAGAGGGACGAGAGCGGAGAGCGAGCGGCUCACCCCCGCAAACGCCUCUCCUCUCUUUGUUUUCCCCACGUGUGCGUAGUUUUGAUGUGUUGUCGGCACUCGGCAGGUUCAGUGAGCACCGACGCUGAUGUUCAAAGUACGGCAGAACACCGGGCAAAGCAUCACGUCCCCGAUUUGGAACGAGAUGCUGGUGGCGUGUCCAGUCUAGGGCCAUUCAAGUUACAGCUUUGUUUUUACUUUUGUGGGGGGCAAGUACGGCUCUCUGUCUUUUGUCCAUUUGUGUGUGGAGCAUAACUAAAUGGAAUGACUCACCGUCCUUCUUGGUUGCCACUCACACAGGUCGUCUAUUGGUCUUGAACCGGUUCACCUUCCUCAUCGUGACCUUCUUGAAAACAUGUGGUAGUGUGUGUUUUUGGCUGAUUGGGGAUGUGGCCUUUCCCCAUGUAAUAUUGGGGAUGUGGCGCUCCCGAUUCGAAAUAAGAUCCAUUUUAAAUAUAUUCUGGUGUUUUUUUUAAAUGUUAAGUUUAAAAUGUUGAAACCUAGUAUGAGCGACCGAUAAAAAUCAACUAUUUUGUAUCUAUGACCGACAGAAAAAAUUGCUUAAAAUCUCUGGAACUUCUUGAAACUUUGCAUUUUUAGAUGAAAGACCGUAAGUUUCAUCAUUGAAACUUAAAGCUUUUUGAGGGAUUUUUUUUACUGUGCCCUCGUGCGGGAUUCAACUACUUCAUGAAUCGCGAGACAAAUCAAGCGGGCACAGGGCUUGACAGGUGUGUGCCACCGCACUUGCGUGCCCCUGCGAAUUUCUGUGUAAUAUUGCUUUAGUUCGCCUUUUAGCACUAGACUUUUACUCUUUUGUUGUUAGCGGUACACGUGGUUUGCCUUGUUGUUGCACAAGGAUGAUUUAUUUUUCUUUUUUUGUUCCGUUACCUCUAUGAUAGUGGAACCCAGUCCAUUUUUAUUGGAUCGUAUGAAAAAAAACUUGUGAUCAUCGUGUUGUUUUUCUUAUUAUCCCUUUUCCUACUUUUCUGAGAAGACAUAAAGAUUUGUGUUUCGAUGCAUUGAUACAUAAAAUAAAGGGUAGUGCUCCCUUUGUUUUUAUAUACUCCAUAUAUUAGCUUCAGAGAAGUCGAUAUGAACAUUUAGAAUAACAAAUCAAUAGAUGUGAAAAUAUAUUCAAUGAUAAGUCUAAUGGUAUUAAUUCGGUGGUGCAUAUAUUAUUGUAUUUUUCCAUAAACUUGAUAAAAAUUUAUAAAGCUUGACUUCAGACAAACUUUAUAUGCAGAGUAAAUAAAAAUAGAGGUAGUACAUCACAAACCUAGACCGGCAAACACCCCAAGUACCACGUUGCACAACUUCACAAUGGAAACCGCUGGGAGGAUCUAGGCAAGACCCAUCGCCCCUUCCCUCGCCCGCAGUAGAGCCUUAAACUUGAUUGUGUCGAUCAGAACAUCGAUGCUAGGUCGCACGUUCUUGAAGAAUACAACAUUGCUAUGCUUUCAGAUCCAACAAAGGUGCUAGCAUGAUCGCCUAGGAGGUCCCCCCUUGUGCAUCGUGGGUGGGGUGAGCCAGGUGGUCCGCUAACACCAAUCUACCAAGUCCUCACUAGCAACCAGAGGCACAAUGGUGGAUCGAAUCCAAGAUAUGAACUCGCGCCAAGCCACCGGACAUGCGAGAAAGCGACCGGUGAGGAGGUGGGUCAUGCAUGAUCUCCUCCGAUUGGUCGCAAAAUAGGCACACACUUACGGCGGCCUUGCAGGCCUCUUGUAGCAAGACUCUCAGCAGUCCAACACCACUCUUGGCAAGAAAGCCAAAUUAAGAACUUCACACUUGAUGACACCCAAGAGCGUCGGUUCAACUUCCAAGAUCUUGAAACAACGCCCGUUGAGCAGCGGUUCUACCUUGGGAAUGGCUUCGCCAUUGAGCCACUGAUCCUCAGAGAAGAGGGUGUAUGUUCCGUUGCCAACUACCAUCAGCCAUCUUUAUUUGCCAUGGCACUUAAGAUUUGGUUGUAUGGAUGAUACUUUAUUUAUAAAGCGGGGCGAAAGCCUAUUUCGAGAGGCAAGUGUUGACAAUGUGCUGCUCGAGAUAGCACAACAGAACAUCAGCAACACAUUUGUUUUCUUUUCAAAAAAGAGCGCUCCCCCUUCCAUAUUUUUUAAACCACGUAGAUUUGCUAGCUGGGUGCCUGGCUGUAACCGGGCUUUUGCCCCAUAGCAGGUGUUUUGAUAAUAAGCAUCCGUGUGGUGGGGUUCCGACGAUGCUUUGAACUCGCUCUCCCCUUCCCCGUCUCCUUUAAACUCUUGAUAGUUUGUAUUUUUCGUUAUUCAAUUAACAGAAAGGUGUUAUUUCCCGGUUCAAAAAUUAUAUUAAUAUUCAAAACCACAUUGUUUUUGAACACCAGUGGCACGUGCUCUGAACGACAACAACACCACGCGUCCCUGAUUUGGACCAUGAUCAGAAACGAGGCAGGCAAGCUCGGACAAGGAGGAGGUGCCUGGUGGCAUGUCCUCUUCUGGCACUUGGACAUGCCGGUGCAACCGGCGUCCAAAGUGAAGUUGUUUGCGCCGCUGUCCGCAUUUCUCCGGACGAGACUUGCCUGAGCUCCACGCAUGUGCCCAUCCGUACCCCCGCCUACGUGGCUUCAUUUGACUGGAACAAAAUAAGACCCGGGCCCAUCCCAUUAAAAUCAGGGGGAAAUGAUUAGAUUGGAAAGGAAAAAAAAAAAGACAGCCGUAGGAUGAAAUGGGAGCAUAGAUGGAAGCAUGGGAAGGGAGCAGGCAAGCCGGAUGGCCCGGAUCCUAUUUCUCCGCCUUCGUUUUUUCAAAUGCCAAGUGGGACGGGACAGAGAUCAGGUGAUGCACGUUUGCAUGUCACCGUGUGCCCUGCGGCCUCCAUUCAAAUUUAAACAUUGCAAAUAAAUCUGAAAAAAAUCAUGCAUGUUCGCAGCACAUAUUAAGAUAACUCCUAAAAAAUACAGAUCAAAAUUCAAAAAAUACAUCGAGAAACAAAGAAGAGAAACUCAGAUGUGAACUGUCGUGGGGGAGAAGCCAGAUGGUCGAGCAGUGACCGGUGGUGAUUAGGACAUGUGCUUGCUUCACGUGUGUGGUGCGUGUGAUUACACGGCGUAAAAAUACGGUUGCCUCCUGCGUGCAGGUGCAGAUCCGGCGGGAGUGACAGUUACAGUGUCCUCCCACAGUGCCACUGUUUCCCCUGCCUCCUCCGUGGCGACGUAUGCGGUCUGCUGGCCUUGUAAUUUUGGCGGGCAAUGAUUCACAGCCUUGGCGCCCGGCGACGAGGCAGCCAGUGUGCGUGUGAAGAGUGAGCGAGCCAAGCGUCCUCUCGAGUGUGGACUGUCGACUCGCUCACCCACAUGGCGAGGGAAUCGCCCGAGGGUCUUCGGAGCAAGUAGGAACUAAUUUGUCCUCUGCGUCCAUCGUCUCGCUUUCGAGCCCAUCAAUUCCCCGCUCGUCGCACUUGUCGUCCUCGUCCUGCAUCAUUCAUGGCGACGGGCUCCCACCUCUUCCCUACCCGUACCGACGGUGCCACCGCCCCCUCGCUUGUCUCUUCUGCGCCCGCUGCAUAGCGCAUCCUACUACUAAUACUUGCCAAGAAGACGGUGCAUCCGCGCCAAGAAGAAGAAGGUCGAACGAGGAGGGGCGGAGAGAGCCAUGUCCGCCUCCGGCGCGGUGCCCGGGGCUGCUGCCGGCGCGGUGGCGGUGCCCACGGGGGAGUGCUACUUCUGCGCCGGCGCGCCGGCGGUGGUGUACUGCCGAGCGGACGCCGCGGGGCUCUGCCUGCCGUGCGACCGCCACGUCCACGGCGCCAACACGGUCUCCUGCCGCCACGCCCGGGCCCCGCUCUGCGCCGUCUGCCGCGCUGCCGCGGCCACCGUCCGCCGCGGCGCUGCCCGGUUCCUCUGCUCUAACUGCGACUUCGAGGAGCAGCAGCACGGAGAGGGGGAGCUGACGGAGCCGCCGCCGCUGCUGCACGACCGUGGCACGGUGGAGGGCUACACCGGGUGCCCCUCGGUAGGCGAGCUAGCGGCGAUCCUCGGUGUCUUCCUCGGCGACAAAGCGGCUGAGGCGUGGUGGCCUCUUUGGGAGGAGCCCCAGGUGCUCAGCUUCGACGACGUCGUCGUGCCGACCACCGCCUGCCAUGGCCUCCAGCCCCUCCUCAUCUCCUCUCCCAAGGUUGGUUGCUGACUUGCUGGCACCCUAGCAGCAGCAAACAGUAUCACGCAGAUACUGUUCACCGUCCGGCAAAGCGAAAACGGAAUAGAAAGCACGUUCUCUGAUGGUUUUUCCACAUAUGGUGUGUGUGUGUGUGUGUGUGCAAGAACCGGAGCCCGCCCUGCGGGGAGCUGGACGGCGAGGUUCUCCGGCAGCUCGGGGAACUCGCCAAGUCGGAGGAGGCGGCAGCUUAUGUCGAGGACCCGGAGCCGGCCGGCGUUGAUCAGCUGCCUCUAUGGGGAUCUUCAGAUUGCGCUGCUAUUGGGCACGGUGAUCUUGGGACUCCUGGAGGCGAGGCCAUCUGCGCGGCAGCAAUCCUGCAUGUACCUCCGUAUCAGGUUGGGAACUUAAUUUGAAUUGAAUUUUUACGCUGAAUUCUCUCUUGCUGACUAUCAUACGUGCUGUGUUCGUUGGAGCACUAUCGAAUGCACAUGAUGCAGUAAAAAUGUGCGCAGUAUAUAUGAGCAGGGCAUUAGUAGAAUAGUACUCUCUCUGUAAACAAAUAUAAGAGUGUUUAGAUCACUACGAAGGAAGUACUAUUUUUUGCAGGGCAUUAGUAGAGUACUAGUGCAACCCUCCAACGUAACAUCUCCAUUUCUGUCCAAGUUGCCGACCACAACCUUUCAUCUAGUGAAUGAAAACGUUCCCAACUUGUACACCAUCACAUAAAAGGCAUCAGAUCGACAAUGACAGGAGUAGCUAAGGAGGAUCUUUUCGGUUGCAACCGGCUAGUAUACUCCUGUAGUGUCUUAGAGCCAUCAUUAUGAUCUUGGCAUAUUUGAUAGUGUCACUAAUAGGAUCUUAAUUUCUUCGGUCCGCCAGCCAAAAUCCCUAUCAGUACAAAGCCAAGAAUGCGUGACAACCAGCUCAUGUUUCAGUACCAUGCAUUGCAGGUUUCAGUACAGCAACAGUAGAAAAUUUGCCAGACAUAUGAAUGUAUAUAUGAUGAUUCUGGUCUUAUCACACAGCAGCAGCUGCAGGAGGCGUGGAUCGCGACGAGUUGCAACGAACUUCCCGAGCAAGUCUCGGCGAGCUCGUCGGCCGAGCCGAGCCUGUCGUCGUUCGUGGAGGUGUCGGAGGUCUGCCCCAGCCUGAGCCGCAGCGGCAGCAGCGCCGACGACGCCGCCAACGCCGGGCACGAUCACCCGUCGCCUGCAGCGGCACCUGUUGCGGCGACGCCGGCGCAAGCGCAAGCUGCAGCUCAGGCGACCAAGAAGGUCGGCGGCUACGACGUGGUCUACCCUGACCGCGGCAAGGUGAUCUCGCGCUACAAGGAGAAAAGGAAGAACAGGAUGUACGAGAGAUAUAAUCAGAGGCCAAUAUAUCCGGCAACAGCAGAGAUUUUCUUUAGCUCGUCGUGCUGACUGCCGGGUUUGAUUUGUUGCAGGUUCGGGAAGCAGAUCCGGUACGAGUCGCGCAAGGCCCGCGCCGACGGCAGGGUGAGGAUCAACGGCCGCUUCGCCAAGUCGAGCUAGCUAGUAGAUUUCGAGGACCGACGACGUACCCUUCUUGGUCUCCGUGGACUGGACGACGACGUUUCUGUACCCUACGAGUACGUAGCGUGGGUGCGAGGGAGCUAGGGGACGGCGUCGAUGCUGUGUGACUGUACNNNNNNNNNNNNNNNNNNNNNNNNNNNNNNNNNNNNNNNNNNNNNNNNNNNNNNNNNNNNNNNNNNNNNNNNNNNNNNNNNNNNNNNNNNNNNNNNNNNNNNNNNNNNNNNNNNNNNNNNNNNNNNNNNNNNNNNNNNNNNNNNNNNNNNNNNNNNNNNNNNNNNNNNNNNNNNNNNNNNNNNNNNNNNNNNNNNNNNNNNNNNNNNNNNNNNNNNNNNNNNNNNNNNNNNNNNNNNNNNNNNNNNNNNNNNNNNNNNNNNNNNNNNNNNNNNNNNNNNNNNNNNNNNNNNNNNNNNNNNNNNNNNNNNNNNNNNNNNNNNNNNNNNNNNNNNNNNNNNNNNNNNNNNNNNNNNNNNUUGUUACCCACGAAGUCACCAGACGUGCCUCGUGGUCGACGGGAAUUUCUCCUCCCACUGCAUGAACAUCGGCACAAAGAUUGUAAUAAAUUUAAGAAAAUGCGAGCACUGUGCCAAGUCUAGAACUUGAACCCUGGUGGACUGGUUCCACCACAAGAAACCUAACCAUCUGAGUUACGCUCGCUUCGCCACACGAUUACACUCUUGCGCACAUUGCUCGUCAGCGCAAAAGUAACCAGAUUGUUUGAAACAAACUAAUAAAGAAAAAUAAAAUUCAAAAUCGAAAACACAUAAAAAACUAAGGUAGAGUGGGGAGGGAUGGAUGUUCAUAUGGGCUACAUAGAACUUGUUGGGUCGCACAAGCUAAUGGGCCAACCUGUUAAGGAAUUGAUAGACCCAAAAUAGAGAGGUCAGUCAAAAAUUUCCAGUCCAAAACAAGACACAUCACACAGCAGAAAAAAGGGAGCACAAACCAUGAAGCAUCACCAACAGUCAGAAACAUCGACUGGCCCAAAUUCUAUUUUCAGGCAAGUUACAUCUAGCUAAAAGUGAUAACUUUAACCAUGGUAAAUCUUUUGUUUAGACCAUGGCAAAUUUAUUACUUUAAUCAUGGCAAACUUCCUUGUUUUUACACCUUCAUGUUUUUACACCACCAUGGAAUCUUUUUAUUAACCAUCAUUAUUUUUUUGUAAACUAUUUUUUGAAACAUAACAAAUUUUAUGAUACAACAUGGUAGUUUGGCAAACUUUUUUUUGAAACAAUGACAAAAAUUUUAGUUCAAGCAUAAUUUUGCCAAAGUUCUUCUAUGUAUGUAAAAUUUUUGGCACUUUUCUUGCAGUUUCAUAAUUGUUUUGAUCUAUUCGUACCGACACGGCUUUAAAACAUAAUUGCUAAGUUUUUCAAGUUCUGAUCCAUUUCUAACAUGACAACAGAAAAAAGGGAGUACAUGGUAAUUUAUGGAAAAAAGUUAUAUAUUCAAAAUUAUGUAGGCUUUUGGUACAAAUUCCAGUUUCAAGUUUUUUUAGGAGUCCGACAGAAACCUUGGGGCCUUUUAUUGUCCUUUUUCGGUUCUGGUGUAACGAUGACGUUAAGGAGAGGUGAGGCCUAUUCGAAAAGGCCUGCAGUUCAUGCUAGAGGAUCUUUCCUGUUGGCUGCACGAGAGCUCGCCAACCGGCGCCUGCAGGCAUUUCCAAUUGGGCCGGCCUGUUUGGUUUUUUUUUGUUGUCUCUGGAACACGCAAAAAGUGUGCGGCGAGGGGAAUCACGCGACCCCUUUGUUGCAAGCGCACGGCAAUAGCCACCAGGACACCCGCCCGCGAGUGAAAGUGUGGCUGGUUUUCCUCUUUUUUAUGUCGUUCUUCGGUUGAGUUUCUUUUUUUCUUUUUUUUCUCAUCUUUCUUUGUUUUCUUUAGUUUGUGUUUUUUUUAAUUUGAUGAACUUUUUCUAGAAUCGAUGAACUUAUUUUCAAAUUCGAUGAACUUUUUUCAGAAUCGAUGAACUUUUUCCAGAAUUGAUCAACUUAUUUUAAAUUGAAUGAACUUUCUUUUGAAAUUUGAUGAACUUUUUUAAAAUUCUAUGAACUUUUUUAAAAUUUGUGAACUUUUUUUCAAGUUUGUGAACUUUUUUCAAAAACUGGAUGAACUUUUUAAAAAAUGGAUGAACUUUUUUCAAUUUUGAUGAUUUUUUUUCAAUUUUAAUGAACUUUAAUUCAAGAUAUAAAGUAAAACGUACAAUGUUCAAGAAAUUCAAAAUCCAAGCUGUAAAAGUAAACCGUACAAGUUUUCUAUGCAAUAAAUAGCGCGGCCGCAAUGUUCUUAGAAAAUUCGCGACGCAUUCUGUCACUAGUGCUAAGUAGGCCUGUUGGUUGUCCUGACACAAGCACCACCGUAAGUGCGCUAGUUCGAUUCCUGUAACAGUCUACUUUUCCUGUUAAUUUUUUGCGCUAUUAGCGUCUGCGUAGCAUUUCCUGGGCCGGCCCACGAGAGACUGCCUGCGAGCGCCGGUUUACAUUGGCGGCGCUGAAGGCGCUGACUAGGGGUUCCCCGAGAGCUCCUCCCUAGCGCCUUAAGCGCCAGGAAGAGUAACUGACGCCCACACGCCACACCUUAUGGGUUGCCCCAACAAAAGGAGGCGAUCACUAGUUCAGAUAGUCGUUGGUUUUCUCGGUUUGUGGUCACAAUUGAAUCCUGACUUUCAAGAAAAUUAACUAAAAAAAGAA
rnacentral:lncRNA from 1 species